rnacentral:miRNA from 1 species
CUGGGUAAUCGCUCUAGACCAU